UGCAGUGUGGCUCAGUGGCAGGGUGUCUGUCUAGCACACACAAGGCCCUGGGUUCAAUCCCCAGCCCUGCAA